AUACAGGGUGACAGCCCCGUACACAAAAGCGCAUGUGCUGUGAGCUCGAUGAGUAGGGCGGGACACGUGGUAUCCUGUCUGAAUAUGGGGGGACCAUCCUCCAAGGCUAAAUACUCCUGACUGACCGAUAGUGAACCAGUACCGUGAGGGAAAGGCGAAAAGAACCCCGGCGAGGGGAGUGAAAAAGAACCUGAAACCGUGUACGUACAAGCAGUGGGAGCACAGGUUUACCUGUGUGACUGCGUACCUUUUGUAUAAUGGGUCAGCGACUUAUAUUCUGUAGCAAGGUUAACCGUAUAGGGGAGCCGGAGGGAAACCGAGUCUUAAC
rnacentral:rRNA from 1 species